rnacentral:rRNA from 1 species
GCGAGCGUUAAUCGGAAUUACUGGGCGUAAAGGGCACGCAGGCGGUUAAUUAAGUUGGAUGUGAAAUCCCCGGGCUUAACCUGGGAAUGGCAUUCAAGACUGGUUAGCUAGAGUCUUGUAGAGGGGGGUAGAAUUCCAUGUGUAGCGGUGAAAUGCGUAGAGAUGUGGAGGAAUACCGGUGGCGAAGGCGGCCCCCUGGACAGAGACUGACGCUCAUGUGCGAAAGCGUGGGGAGCAAACAGGAUUAGAUACCCUGGUAGUCCACGCUGUAAACGAUGUCGAUUUGGAGGUUGUGGUCUAGAACUGUGGCCUCCGGAGCUAACGCGUUAAAUCGACCGCCUGGGGAGUACGGCCGCAAGGUUAAAACUCAAAUGAAUUGACGGGGGCCCGCACAAGCGGUGGAGCAUGUGGUUUAAUUCGAUGCAACGCGAAGAACCUUACCUACUCUUGACAUCCAGCGAAGCCUUUAGAGAUAGAGGCGUGCCUUCGGGAGCGCUGAGACAGGUGCUGCAUGGCUGUCGUCAGCUCGUGUUGUGAAAUGUUGGGUUAAGUCCCGCAACGAGCGCAACCCUUAUCCUUUGUUGCCAGCGAUACGGUCGGGAACUCAAAGGAGACUGCCGGUGAUAAACCGGAGGAAGGUGGGGAUGACGUC